UACGGAGGGUGCAAGCGUUGUCCGGAUUUAUUGGGUUUAAAGGUGCGUAGGUGGAACUGUAAGUCUGAUUUGAAAGCAGGCGGCUUAACCGUCUGAUGUGGUUGGAAACUGUGGUUCUUGAAUGGGUUGGCGGUAGCCGGAAUGGGUCGAUGUAGCGGUGAAAUGCAUAGAUAUGACCCGGACACCGAUUGCGAAGGCAGGCUACUACGACUUGAUUGACACUGAGGCACGAGAGCAUGGGUAGCGAACAGG
rnacentral:rRNA from 1 species